rnacentral:rRNA from 1 species
GGAAUCUUGGACAAUGGGGGAAACCCUGAUGCAGCCAUGCCGCGCGUGUGAAGAAGGCCUUCGGGUUGUAAAGCACUUUCAGUGGUGAGGAAGGCGUUGUAGUUAAUAGCUGCAACGAUUGACGUUAGACACAGAAGAAGCACCGGCUAACUCCGUGACAGCAGCCGCGGUAAAACGGAGGGUGCAAGCGUUAAUCGGAAUUACUGGGCGUAAAGCGUACGUAGGCGGCCUGUUAAGCAAGAUGUGAAAGCCCCGGGCUCAACCUGGGAAUGGCAUUUUGAACUGGCAGGCUCGAGUUUUGAAGAGGGUGGUAGAAUUUCCUGUGUAGCGGUGAAAUGCGUAGAUAUAGGAAGGAAUACCAGUGGCGAAGGCGGCCACCUGGUCAAAAACUGACGCUGAGGUACGAAAGCGUGGGGAGCA